rnacentral:rRNA from 1 species
AACUGCGAGUGAAGCGGGAAAAGCUCAAAUUUAAAAUCUGGCAGUCUUUUGGCUGUCCGAGUUGUAAUUUAGAGAAGCGUCUUCCGCGCCGGACCGUGCACAAGUCUCCUGGAAUGGAGCGUCAUAGAGGGUGAGAAUCCCGUCUUUGGCAUGGACACCCGGGGCUUCUGCGAUGCGCUCUCGAAGAGUCGAGUUGUUUGGGAAUGCAGCUCAAAAYGGGUGGUGAACUCCAUCUAAAGCUAAAUAUUGGCGAGAGACCGAUAGCGAACAAGUACCGUGAGGGAAAGAUGAAAAGCACUUUGGAAAGAGAGUGAAACAGUACGUGAAAUUGUUGAAAGGGAAACGCUUGAAGUCAGUCGCGUCGAUCGAGACUCAGCCUUGCCUUGGCUUGGCAUACUUCUCGGCUGACGGGCCAGCAUCAAUUUUGUCUCUCGGAUAAUGACAAGGGAAAGGUGGCACCUUCACCGGUGUGUUAUAGUCUCCUGUCGCAUGCGAGGGGUGGGAUUGAGGAACUCAGCACGCACCUCUUGGUGUCGGGGCUUCUGCCC